AUUGAACGCUGGCGGGAGGCCUAACACAUGCAAGUCGAACGAGUGGCGGACGGGUGAGUAAUGUCUGGGAAACUGCCUGAUGGAGGGGGAUAACUACUGGAAACGGUAGCUAAUACCGCAUACCAUCGGAUCUGCCCAGAUGGGAUUAGCUAGUUGGUGGGGUAAAGGCUCACCAAGGCGACGAUCCCUAGCUGGUUUGAGAGGAUGACCAGCCACACUGGAACUGAGACACGGCCCAGACUCCUACGGGAGGCAGCAGUGGGGAAUAUUGCACAAUGGGCGAAAGCCUGAUGCAGCCAUGCCGCGUGUAUGAAGAAGGCCUUCGGGUUGUAAAGUACUUUCAGCGGGGAGGCGUUACCUGCAGAAUAAGCACCGGCUAACUCCGUGCCAGCAGCCGCGGUAAUUC
rnacentral:rRNA from 1 species